GACGAACGCUGGCGGCGUGCUUAACACAUGCAAGUCGAACGGAGUGGCGAACGGGUGAGUAUUACGUGAGUAAGCUGCCCUCAACUGUAGGAUAAGCCUGGGAAACUGGGUAUAAUACUGCAUAGUUGGGGAGGGGAUCGCGGUCGAUCAGCUUGUUGGUGGGGGGAUGGCUGACGAAGGAGGUGACGGGUAGCCGGCCUGAGAGGGUGGUUGGCCCCAUUGGGCCGGGGAUACGGCCCAGACUCCUACGGGUGGCAGCAGUGGGGGAUAUUGCACAAUGGGGGCAAGCCUGAUGCGGCGACGCCGCGUGAGGGAUGAAGGCUUUCGGGUUGUAAACCUCUUUCGUUACAGAACGGGUAUGUGCAGAAGAAGCGCCGGCUAACUACGUGCCAGCAGCCGCGGUAAUAC
rnacentral:rRNA from 1 species